CUUUACUGUAGCCUGGUAUUGGGUUCGGGCUUUGACUGCGCAGGAUAGGUGGGAGGCUUUGAUCCAUUGCUUGUGGGUGAUGGUGAGCCAACGGUGAGAUACCACUCUUUCAGAGCUAGGGUUCUAACGGUCACCCGUCAUCCGGGGACCGGACAGUAUCAGGUGGGCAGUUUGACUGGGGCGGUCGCCUCCUAAAAGGUAACGGAGGCGCGCAAAGGUUCUCUCAGGCUGGUUGGAAAUCAGCCGACGAGUGUAAAGGCAGAAGGGAGCUUGACUGUGAGGCCUACAAGUCGAACAGGGACGAAAGUCGGCCUUAGUGAUCCGACGGUUCUGUGUGGAAGGGCCGUCGCUCAACGGAUAAAAGUUA
rnacentral:rRNA from 1 species